rnacentral:lncRNA from 1 species
GGCCAGGGCAAAAAGAUAGGUAGGAUAUUGUAAGCACCUGUGUGAUUCUGGAUGCAAAUCUGUUCUGGGGUUAUCUCAUUACAAGCAAACAAGGAACAAGGGAACAUGUUGUUAGAUGUCCUGUUUCAUUAAGCUUUUUCUAAGCCUGAAAAAUAGAAGUUCUUAUACUUAUCCUGCUGCUAUGCCUGGCACCCAUCUAUUAUCCUGGCCCAGGUCCAAGCAGUAGAGUAAGCUGCAAUGGAAGGAGAGCUGGUACAAUAUGGCGAGGAGCACAGCAGUGGGCCACUAUGCAGGAAAGUAUGCAACAUGCCUGGGGUCUCAGCAAGAUCAAGCAGUGAGGAGGGUCCCACAGCAGCACAGCACCAGUUCUACUGGCUGUAAUUGGUGCCGGUUCCAGGGGCAAUCUCAGAGAGAGGAGACUCUCAGAGACCAGAGCUGA